rnacentral:lncRNA from 1 species
UGCAGUUUUGGGGGGGGGUGGGGAGGGUGAGUCCUGGGGUGUGUGGGGCACUCACCCUCCAGCACAGGGUUGGACUGCAGCAGCUGCUCCUUCACUUUGUCCACCUCCUCCCCUUUGCUGCUCACGGCCGCCACAUAGGACAUCACCAGCUUGCUGGCCUCUGCAACGGGGAUGUCAGCCCUGGGACCUUGGACCCCCCCAUCCCGCAGCCCUGCAGCCCCCAGCCCACCCUACCUGUCUUGCCAGCUCCACUUUCACCAGUGAUGAGGAUGCACUGGUCCCGGUCCCGGUCCCGCAGUGAGCAAUAUGCAUCAUCAGCAAUGGCGUAGCUGUGGCAAAGAAGUUGCAGUUGUGGUACUCCUCCACCUUCUCGGGGGUGUAGAUGGGCAACGGCUUGUAGGGGUUCACUGAGAUCACCACCUCCCCAAUGUACGUCUGCAGAUUUCCCCGCGGCUGAAGCGCUCCUGCAGGGUGCGGAGCAGGGCCUCCUCGCUGAGCGGGUCCAGCAUCACCAGAUCCCCGACGGCCGCAGCAUCCAGCAGAGAGGUGGUGGCUUCCAUGGCUGGGGGCUGCGCGGUGCCUGGGGCAGAACGGAGGGGGCUGCCCUGGAUACCCCCCUCCUCCUCGAGGCUUCAGGGCAGCUCCGGGAGAAGCGCGGAGCCGGCAGGAAGCGGGGACACCUGGGCCCUAUUCUUGGGGCUGGGAUUAAUUCAGCCUCCGCUUCCUCCCUCCUUCCGGGCCGGGGGGAGCUGAGCUCGGGGCUGGGGGGGACACCUGAGGGGUCGCGGCUCCGCCCAACCUCCGCCCUCACCUGGUGCGCUGCCCGCGACCUUCAGCCCCGCUUCACCAUCACCUC